UGCGGCUUUCCGGCUGUGUUCAUCCCCCUUUACACCAUAUGUAUCGCUAUUGUGAAUGAUUUCGAGCAUACUUGAACAACCCUGGGAAUCAGGUGUUCAGUGAUUGAAACGGGUGGAAGAGGAGGAAAGCCGUCAAGGAAGGACUGGUCGAAAGCCUGCCAUGACGGGAAAUUUGCGAAAGAUGGCCGACUUCCUGGCCGGUUUGCCUUCUCUUGGACCUUGGAAUUGGAGUUGGCUGGAUGCAGAAAAAUCGUGGAAAAUCGAACUUACGAACUACAUAUUAAAUAAUCUGAAAAUAAAGAAAAAAUUACAUCCUAAAAAAAAAAAA